rnacentral:rRNA from 1 species
UACGAAGGGGGCUAGCGUUGCUCGGAAUUACUGGGCGUAAAGCGCACGUAGGCGGAUUGUUAAGUCGGGGGUGAAAUCCUGGAGCUCAACUCCAGAACUGCCUUUGAUACUGAAGAUCUUGAGUCCGGGAGAGGUGAGUGGAACUGCGAGUGUAGAGGCGAAAUUCGUAGAUAUUCGCAAGAACACCAGUGGCGAAGGCGGCUCACUGGCCCGGUACUGACGCUGAGGCACGAAAGCGUGGGGAGCAAACAGG